rnacentral:rRNA from 2 species
AGACCCGAAACCCGGUGAUCUAGCCAUGGGCAGGUUGAAGGUUGGGUAACACUAACUGGAGGACCGAACCGACUAAUGUUGAAAAAUUAGCGGAUGACCUGUGGCUGGGGGUGAAAGGCCAAUCAAACCGGGAGAUAGCUGGUUCUCCCCGAAAGCUAUUUAGGUAGCGCCUCGUGAAUUCAUCUCCGGGGGUAGAGCACUGUUUCGGCUAGGGGGCCAUCCCGGCUUACCAACCCGAUGCAAACUGCGAAUACCGGAGAAUGUUAUCACGGGAGACACACGGCGGGUGCUAACGUCCGUCGUGAAGAGGGAAACAACCCAGACCGCCAGCUAAGGUCCCAAAGUCAUGGUUAAGUGGGAAACGAUGUGGGAAGGCCCAGACAGCCAGGAUGUUGGCUUAGAAGCAGCCAUCAUUUAAAGAAAGCGUAAUAGCUCACUGGUCGAGUCGGCCUGCGCGGAAGAUGUAACGGGGCUAAACCAUGCACCGAAGCUGCGGCAGCGAACGUAUCACUUAAAGC